rnacentral:rRNA from 1 species
UACGUAGGGUGCGAGCGUUAAUCGGAAUUACUGGGCGUAAAGCGUGCGCAGGCGGUUUUGUAAGCCAGAUGUGAAAUCCCCGGGCUUAACCUGGGAAUGGCAUUUGGGACUGCAAGGCUGGAGUGUGGCAGAGGAGACUGGAAUUCCUGGUGUAGCAGUGAAAUGCGUAGAUAUCAGGAGGAAUACCGAUGGCGAAGGCAGGUCUCUGGGCUGACACUGACGCUCAUGCACGAA